rnacentral:rRNA from 1 species
GGGUAACAGCCCACCAAGGCGACGAUCGGUAGCCGACCUGAGAGGGUGGACGGCCACAUUGGGACUGAGACACGGCCCAAACUCCUACGGGAGGCAGCAGUGGGGAAUAUUGCACAAUGGGGGAAACCCUGAUGCAGCAACGCCGCGUGAGUGAGGAAGUAUUUCGGUAUGUAAAGCUCUAUCAGCAGGGAAUAGAAAAGAAGGUACCUGAAAAAGAAGCCCCGGCUAACUACGUGCCAGCAGCCGCGGUAAUACGUAGGGGGCAAGCGUUAUCCGGAUUUACUGGGUGUAAAGGGAGCGUAGACGGAAAGGCAAGUCAGAAGUGAAAGCCCAAGGCUCAACCAUGGGACUGCUUUUGAAACUGUCAAACUAGAGUACGGGAGAGGUAAGAGGAAUUCCUAGUGUAGCGGUGAAAUGCGUAGAUAUUAGGAGGAACACCAGUGGCGAAGGCGUCUUACUGGACCGAAACUGACGUUGAGGCUCGAAAGCGUGGGGAGCAAACAGGAUUAGAUACCCUGGUAGUCCACGCGGUAAACGAUGAAUACUAGGUGUUGGGGUAAAGAAACCUCG